AUGCUCAGAUUGCUAGGAAAUUGGAUAGACCUCCAGAGAAAUUCUCUCCCACGCCUUCCCUGGGGACCAGCCUGUGACACAGGAAUUGGCAAGAAUCUAAUUUCACCGGAAGGUUUGCUGAAGCAUUAUCACCAGACAGCCAGAAUGAUUGAUGAGUGCUUUUCAGGAAGGGAAAUGCUUCCAGCUUGGUUUGUGGGAAGGAGUAAAUUGAACCACAUCAGUAAUGCCACCAUCCAGUUUCUGGUAUACAAGUUUGGAAGUUGGAUGAAGAGGCAGAGAACAGGGCCAUUACGUGACCCAGCCUAUGCCCCUUGUGCCAGAGAUGGAAUGAGAAUAAACAGAAUUGAGGUGGCCCCCACUCCUACGGACACAGCUCUUUCACCUAUACGGUUUUCUUCUGUAUUUCCUGAUAUAAGUCUCCCCCUGACCCCACUGGAAUGCAUGGAUUUGCAUUUGUUCUUCCAGGAGUGUCUAACUGGAUGUCCUCUGCAAAUUCAUCAAAUGUGCCAUCUUUUCCAUCAUGUGGUCAUCCCUGGGAUCAUCAUCGAACAUCGUUCUCCACCACUCUGGUCCAUGGAUGGUUGUUCUCUUUUGUCCAUUCCAUCAAAUGUCCUGAACACUGUCAGAAGAGGGAAAAGGCUAAUGCUCCAGGGCUGCAUCGCUGUGGGCACAGCAAGCUUCCCCGGUUACCUGAGCUGCUCCUGCGGCGUCCCCCGCCUGGGCUUGGCCGAAGCGGGAGCGGCGGUCGGCGCCGUGCAGAAGAAGCACCUGCUCUGGAGCUCUGACCGGGGCCCCUCGCAGCUGGAAGAGAGGGUGAAGCUGCAGAAGACCCAGGGUGGGACGGAUAGAGAGGACGCCAAGGACCGGGGCCGGGGAGUUAGGAAUACAUCCUGUGCCCGGCGGUCCUCUGCAGGGCAAGGGCAGCAACAGCCCCUGCCGUAG
rnacentral:lncRNA from 12 species